UACGUAGGGUGCAAGCGUUAAUCGGAAUUACUGGGCGUAAAGCGUGCGCAGGCGGCUUUGCAAGACAGAUGUGAAAUCCCCGGGCUUAACCUGGGAACUGCAUUUGUGACUGCAUGGCUGGAGUGCGGCAGAGGGGGAUGGAAUUCCGCGUGUAGCAGUGAAAUGCGUAGAGAUGCGGAGGAACACCGAUGGCGAAGGCAGCCCCCUGGGCCAAUACUGACGCUCAGGCACGAAAGCGUGGGGAGCAAACAGG
rnacentral:rRNA from 1 species